rnacentral:rRNA from 1 species
AACGAACGCUGGCGGCAUCCCUAACACAUGCAAGUCGAACGAGACCUUCGGGUCUAGUGGCGCACGGGUGCGUAACGCGUGGGAACCUGCCCUUAGGUUCGGAAUAACUCCCCGAAAGGGGUGCUAAUACCGGAUAAUGUCUUCGGACCAAAGAUUUAUCGCCUUUGGAUGGGCCCGCGUUGGAUUAGCUAGUUGGUAGGGUAAAAGCCUACCAAGGCGACGAUCCAAAGCUGGUCUGAGAGGAUGAUCAGCCACACUGGGACUGAGACACGGCCCAGACUCCUACGGGAGGCAGCAGUGGGGAAUAUUGGACAAUGGGCGAAAGCCUGAUCCAGCAAUGCCGCGUGAGUGAUGAAGGCCUUAGGGUUGUAAAGCUCUUUUACCCGGGAUGAUAAUGACAGUACCGGGAGAAUAAGCUCCGGCUAACUCCGUG